rnacentral:rRNA from 1 species
GCCUUUUGACAAAAUAUAAAAGGUCCAGCCUGCCCAGUGACAAAAUUAAACGGCCGCGGUACCCUAACCGUGCAAAGGUAGCACAAUCACUUGUUCUCUAAAUAAGGACUAGUAUGAACGGCAUCACGAGGAUUAUGCUGUCUCCCCCAUUUAAUCAGUGAAACUGAUCCCCCCGUGAAGAAGCGGGGAUAAACUUAUAAGACGAGAAGACCCUGUGGAGCUUUAAACUAACACCACCUACCUCAAAAUACACCAUAAUAAACAAGUAAGCUUGUGUACUAGUUUUAGGUUGGGGCGACCGCGGAGUAAAACUAAACCUCCACGAUGAAAGACUUUACUUUCUAAUCCAAGAGCAACACCUCAAAGAAUCAACAAACUGACAUAUUGACCCAAUACUUUGAUCAACGAACCAAGUUACCCCAGGGAUAACAGCGCAAUCCAUUUCAAGAGCUCAUAUCGACAAAUGGGUUUACGACCUCGAUGUUGGAUCAGGGUAUCCAAGUGGUGCAGCCGCUACUA